ACAGAGACUGCGAGCGUUAUUCGGAUUCACUGGGCGUAAAGGGUGCGCAGGCGGCCAUGUGUGUGAGGCGUGAAAGCCCGGAGCUCAACUCCGGAAUUGCACCUCAAACUAUAUGGCUAGAGCAUUGGAGAGGGUAGCAGAAUUCAUGGUGUAGCAGUGAAAUGCGUAGAUAUCAUGAGGAAUACCAGAGGCGAAGGCGGCUACCUGGACAAUUGCUGACGCUCAGGCACGAAAGCGUGGGGAGCAAAAGGGAUUAGAUACCCCUGUAGUCCACGCCCUAAACGGUGCACACUAGGUCUUGACGGAUUCGACCCCGCCAGGGCCCAAGCUAACGCGUUAAGUGUGCCGCCUGAGGACUACGGCCGCAAGGCUA
rnacentral:rRNA from 1 species